rnacentral:miRNA from 1 species
CUGCCCCGCACAGCCUCCC